rnacentral:tRNA from 2 species
GCGAUUUUAGUUUAAUUAGAAUAGUAGCUUGUCUCGCUAUUGGUGGUUUAAUACCUGGUCGCU